GUUACAGCAGCCGCGGUAAUACGGAGGGUGCAAGCGUUAUCCGGAUUCACUGGGUUUAAAGGGUGCGUAGGUGGGCAGGUAAGUCAGUGGUGAAAUCUCCGGGCUUAACUCGGAAACUGCCAUUGAUACUAUCUGUCUUGAAUACCGUGGAGGUCAGCGGAAUAUGUCAUGUAGCGGUGAAAUGCUUAGAUAUGACAUAGAACACCAAUUGCGAAGGCAGCUGGCUACACGAAUAUUGACACUGAUGCACGAAAGCGUGGGGAGCAAACAGGAUUAGAUACCCUAGUAGUCC
rnacentral:rRNA from 1 species